rnacentral:lncRNA from 1 species
CAGACAUGGGAGAGACACGCAAGCUGCAAAGGGAAGCAGAGUCAAAUUAAAGCCUCCCAACCACGGCUCGUGGUGCUGCGGAUGGGGCGUCCCUCCCUCCCUCCCUCGGCUUGAUGAAGGUGGGUGUGAGAUCCCACAGGACUGUCUGGAAGAGAGCCCGUGGAAGUCACUGUAUUUUGCAGAAGCUGGAGGCGAAGCAGAAGGUUGCAGCCUGACACUUCUGCCUCUUUUCCCUCUGGGUAUAUCUUACUGGGUCUUUGCAGGUCAUGGCUGGACUGUUGUGGUGGGGUAACUGAAACAAACCGAAGAGACUGAUGGAAAAAAAAUCAAAAAGCAAGGGCGGAAUUUCAAAGCCUGGAUCAUAGAAGAAGGAAUGCUGCAUGACAAGCUCUUUCUUGCCCUGGAGACUCAAUGAUUUUAUGUCUAGUGGUUCAUAAGUUACAA